rnacentral:rRNA from 1 species
UACAGAGGGGGCCAGCGUUGUUCUGAAUUACUGGGCGUAAAGGGCGCGUAGGCGGCCCGCUAAGUCGAACGUGAAAUCCCCGAGCUCAACUCGGGAACUGCGUCCGAUACUGGUGGGCUUGAAUCCGGGAGAGGGAUGCGGAAUUCCAGGUGUAGCGGUGAAAUGCGUAGAUAUCUGGAGGAACACCGGUGGCGAAGGCGGCAUCCUGGACCGGCAUUGACGCUGAGGCGCGAAAGCUAGGGGAGCAAACGGG